rnacentral:rRNA from 1 species
CGCGUAGGCGGUUCGCUAAGUCGGAUGUGAAAACUCUGGGCUCAACCCAGAGCCUGCAUCCGAAACUGGCGGGCUGGAGUUCUGGAGGGGGUAGCGGAAUUCCUGGUGUAGCGGUGAAAUGCGUAGAUAUCAGGAGGAACACCGGUGGCGAAGGCGGCUACCUGGACAGAAACUGACGCUGAGGCGCGAAAGCUAGGGGAGCAAACA